CCUACGGGUGGCAGCAGUGAGGAAUAUUGGUCAAUGGACGCAAGUCUGAACCAGCCACGCCGCGUGAAGGAAGAAGGCUUUCUGAUUUGAAAACUGUUUUGUUAGGAGGGAAAACUGACAUUAGUGGAUCCGCCUGCAAGGACUGUACGAAUAAGGACAGCCUAACCCCGUGACAGCAGCCGCGGUAAUCCGGAGGGUUCAAGCGUUACCCGGAUUUAUUGGGGUUAAAGGGGGCGUAGGCGGGCGGUUAAGUUAGAGGUGAAGUCCCGAGGCUCAACUUCGGAAUUGCCUUUGAUACUGUUAGGCUAGAGAGUAGUUGCGGUGGGCGGAAUGUAUGGUGUAGCGGUGAAAUGCUUAGAGAUCAUACAGAACACCGAUUGCGAAGGCAGCUUACCGAGCUGCAUCUGACGUUGAGGCACGAAAGCGUGGGGAGCAAACAGGAUUAGAUACCCGAGUAGUC
rnacentral:rRNA from 1 species